AUACAGCGUCCGUCGACCGGCGCCCCACGGGGCCCAAGAGGGAACGCAGGGCGCGCCGCGCCGCUGCGGCUGCCCCCGCAACUGUGAGCAGCGAGUCCGCAUCCGAUUCACGCCACUGGCCACGCCGCCCUUUCGCGGCCGCCGGGAAGGCCCGCUGCGGACGACGACCUGCCAGCCAGGAGACCUGCCGGGACGUUUCGUUCGUGC
rnacentral:ncRNA from 21 species